rnacentral:rRNA from 1 species
AGAGUUUGAUCCUGGCUCAGAACGAACGCUGGGCGGCGUGCUUAACACAUGCAAGUCCAACGUGAAAGGGGAGCAAUCCCCCGGUAAGUGGCGAACGGGUGAGUAAGACAUGGGAAUCUGCCCUGGAGAUGGGGAUAUCCCUCCGAAAGGGGGGCUAAUACCGAAUACCGUCCGGGAAAACGAGAGGAUUUCGGGGGAAAGGGAGGCCUCUGGCAACAUGCUUCCGCUCCGGGAGGAGCCCAUGGCCCAUCCAGCUAGUUGGGAGGGUAACGGCCUGCCAAGGCGAAGACGGGUAGCUGGUCUGAGAGGACGAUCAGCCACACUGGCACUGAGACACGGGCCAGAC